CAASGCGACGACGGGUAGCCGGCCUGAGAGGGUGACCGGCCACACUGGGACUGAGACACGGCCCAGACUCCUACGGGAGGCAGCAGUGGGGAAUAUUGCACAAUGGGCGCAAGCCUGAUGCAGCGACGCCGCGUGAGGGAUGACGGCCUUCGGGUUGUAAACCUCUUUCAGCAGGGAAGAAGCCACAAGUGACGGUACCUGCAGAAGAAGCGCCGGCUAACUACGUGCCAGCAGCCGCGGUAAUACGUAGGGCGCAAGCGUUGUCCGGAAUUAUUGGGCGUAAAGAGCUCGUAGGCGGUUUGUCGCGUCUGCUGUGAAAGCCCGGGGCUCAACCCCGGGUCUGCAGUGGGUACGGGCAGACUAGAGUGCAGUAGGGGAGACUGGAAUUCCUGGUGUAGCGGUGAAAUGCGCAGAUAUCAGGAGGAACACCGAUGGCGAAGGCAGGUCUCUGGGCUGUUACUGACGCUGAGGAGCGAAAGCAUGGGGAGCGAACAGGAUUAGAUACCCUGGUAGUCCAUGCCGUAAACGUUGGGCACUAGGUGUGGGGGACAUUCCACGUUCUCCGCGCCGUAGCUAACGCAUUAAGUGCCCCGCCUGGGGAGUACGGA
rnacentral:rRNA from 1 species